GAAAAGCGCUCGAAUACUAACAGAGAGGAGCGCCGGAUAACGGAAAGCAAGAUACCAUUUCCACCAACGCAUGGAAAGGCAUGGAUAAUCAGACAUUUUUAUUUUCCGGGCAUUGAUUCACCCAGAGGUCGUCCGGUAUCAAUGACGUGGAUUACGUCAAUCUGAUGAAUAAGAGUUGUAUGGUGACCAAAUUUCAACACACUAUUCCAAUUGACAAGGGACAUUCUUAUGUACAGAGACAGCGUAACGGUAAAUGGCUAACAGGAUAGUUUAAAAUCCAAACCUUUUCAUGUGAUUACUGAUAACCUUUCAGUUGAGUCACCCACAUAAAGCGCAGGAAACAAAGUAUUUGUGAAAGGGGCAUCAGAUCAAAUCUGGCCUCUUCAAUGUCCCUGUUGUGACAACACAAGAAAAACUGGUUUUUACAUUAAUGUAAGGUAUAUGGAACUACAUGUUACUUUAGAAAUCUGUAUGUUAACGAAAUAAAUUCUAAGAAGAGGACGUAACUUUAUCUCAGUUCAGUAAAAAACAACGAAAAUACGACAAAAAGAGGAAUAAAAAGGAACAAAGCAAAAACAAAGAAACAAACACAUUAAUAAAUAUUUCUUAUUCAAGUCAAAUCAAACGGAGAAACUGAGAAGACACCACAACGAAAACGAACAAUAAGGAGACUAGAAGUUAUAGAACAUCAAAGGUAUAAUGACGAUGUAUGAAAAAUUAAAAAAGAUACCUUCAUUAACAGAUGGGAACCUCUUCGUUACAACACUAAAAUUUUUCAUUGUGAUAAUAUCGAGUAAAUAAUACACUGCUUUGAA